GGGGAUGUAGCUCAGUGGUAGCGCGCAUGCUUUGCGCAUGUAUGAGGCCCUGGGUUCAAUCCCCGGGCAUCUCUA
rnacentral:tRNA from 1 species